ACAAGCAGUGGGAGCACAGAGCAAUCUGUGUGACUGCGUACCUUUUGUAUAAUGGGUCAGCGACUUAUAUUCUGUAGCAAGGUUAACCGAAUAGGGGAGCCGAAGGGAAACCGAGUCUUAACUGGGCGUUAAGUUGCAGGGUAUAGACCCGAAACCCGGUGAUCUAGCCAUGGGCAGGUUGAAGGUUGGGUAACACUAACUGGAGGACCGAACCGACUAAUGUUGAAAAAUUAGCGGAUGACUUGUGGCUGGGGGUGAAAGGCCAAUCAAACCGGGAGAUAGCUGGUUCUCCCCGAAAGCUAUUUAGGUAGCGCCUCGUGAAUUCAUCUCCGGGGGUAGAGCACUGUUUCGGCAAGGGGGUCAUCCCGACUUACCAACCCGAUGCAAACUGCGAAUACCGGAGAAUGUUAUCACGGGAGACACACGGCGGGUGCUAACGUCCGUCGUGAAGAGGGAAACAACCCAGACCGCCAGCUAAGGUCCCAAAGUCAUGGUUAAGUGGGAAACGAUGUGGGAAGGCCCAGACAGCCAGGAUGUUGGCUUAGAAGCAGCCAUCAUUUAAAGAAAGCGUAAUAGCUCACUGGUCGAGUCGGCCUGCGCGGAAGAUGUAACGGGGCUAAACCAUGCACCGAAGCUGCGGCAGCGACACUGUGUGUUGUUGGGUAGGGGAGCGUUCUGUAAGCCUGUGAAGGUGUGCUGUGAGGCAUGCUGGAGGUAUCAGAAGUGCGAAUGCUGACAUA
rnacentral:rRNA from 1 species